UACGUAGGGUGCGAGCGUUGUCCGGAAUUAUUGGGCGUAAAGGGCUCGUAGGCGGUUUGUCGCGUCGGGAGUGAAAACCCAGGGCUUAACCCUGGGCUGGCGUCCGAUACGGGCAGACUAGAGGUAUGCAGGGGAGAACGGAAUUCCUGGUGUAGCGGUGAAAUGCGCAGAUAUCAGGAGGAACACCGAUGGCGAAGGCAGGUCUCUGGGCCACUACUGACGCUGAGAAGCGAAAGCAUGGGGAGCGAACAGG
rnacentral:rRNA from 1 species